rnacentral:misc_RNA from 1 species
GAUGAAGAACGUAGCGAAAUGCGAUAAGUAAUGUGAAUUGCAGAAUUCAGUGAAUCAUCGAAUCUUUGAACGCACAUUGCGCCCGCCAGUAUUCUGGCGGGCAUGCCUGUCCGAGCGUCAUUUCAACCCUCGAACCCCUCCGGGGGGUCGGCGUUGGGGAUCGGGAACCCCUAAGACGGGAUCCCGGCCCCGAAAUACAGUGGCGGUCUCGCCGCAGCCUCUCCUGCGCAGUAGUUUGCACAACUCGCACCGGGAGCGCGGCGCGUCCACGUCCGUAAAACACCCAACUUCUGAAAUGUUGACCUCGGAUCAGGUAGGAAUACCCGCUGAACUUAAGCAUAUCAAUAAGCAGAGGA